UGGGCUUGCGGCCCAUUAGCUUGUUGGUAAGGUAAUGGCUUACCAAGGCGACGAUGGGUAGCCGGCCUGAGAGGGUGUACGGCCACACUGGAACUGAGACACGGUCCAGACUCCUACGGGAGGCAGCAGUGGGGAAUAUUGGUCAAUGGGCGAAAGCCUGAACCAGCAAUGCCGUGUGGGCGAUGAAGCUUUUAGGAGUGUAAAGCCCUUUUCUAGGGGAAGAACCGCUUUGGGACGAAUAAUCCCAUAGCCUGACGGUACCUUAGGAAUAAGCCCCGGCUAACUCCGUGCCAGCAGUCGCGGUAAUACGGAGGGGGCGAGCGUUGUUCGGAAUCACUGGGCGUAAAGGGCGCGUAGGCGGCCUUGCAGGUCAGAUGUGAAAGCCCCGGGCUUAACCCGGGAAUUGCGUUUGAAACCUCAGGGCUUGAGGCCGGGAGAGGGAAGUGGAAUUCCUGGUGUAGCGGUGAAAUGCGUAGAUAUCAGGAGGAACACCGGUGGCGAAGGCGGCUUCCUGGACCGGUACUGACGCUGAGUCGCGAAAGCGUGGGGAGCGAACGGGAUUAGAUACCCCGGUAGUCCACGCUGUAAACGUUGAGCACUAGAUGUAGCGGGUAUCGACCCCUGCUGUGUCGCAGCUAACGCAUUAAGUGCUCCGCCUGGGGACUACGGUCGCAAGACUGAAACUCAAAGGAAUUGACGGGGGCCCGCACAAGCGGUGGAGUAUGUGGUUUAAUUCGAUGCAACGCGAAGAACCUUACCAGGGCUUGACAUACUGGUGGUACUGAUCUGAAAGGUGAAGGACCUCUUCGGAGGAGCCAGUACAGGUGCUGCAUGGCUGUCGUCAGCUCGUGUCGUGAGAUGUUGGGUUAAGUCCCGCAACGAGCGCAACCCCUACCCUUAGUUACCAGCAGUUCGGCUGGGCACUCUAGGGGAACUGCCGGUGAUAAACCGGAGGAAGGUGGGGAUGACGUCAAGUCCUCAUGGUCCUUAUGUCCUGGGCUACACACGUACUACAAUGGUCGGUACAAUGGGUCGCGAAACCGUGAGGUUGAGCCAAUCUCAAAAAACCGGCCUCAAUUCGGAUUGGAGUCUGCAACUCGACUCCAUGAAGUUGGAAUCGCUAGUAAUCGCGGAUCAGC
rnacentral:rRNA from 1 species